AGAGUUUGAUCCUGGCUCAGAUUGAACGCUGGCGGCAUGCCUUACACAUGCAAGUCGAACGGCAGCACGGGAGCAAUCCUGGUGGCGAGUGGCGAACGGGUGAGUAAUAUAUCGGAACGUGCCCAGUCGUGGGGGAUAACGUAGAGAAAUUUACGCUAAUACCGCAUACGAUCUAAGGAUGAAAGCGGGGGAUCGCAAGACCUCGCGCGAUUGGAGCGGCUGAUAUCAGAUUAGGUUGUUGGUGAGGUAAAAGCUCACCAAGCCGACGAUCUGUAGCUGGUUUGAGAGAACGACCAGCCACACUGGGACUGAGACACGGCCCAGACUCCUACGGGAGGCAGCAGUGGGGAAUUUUGGACAAUGGGCGAAAGCCUGAUCCAGCAAUGCCGCGUGCAGGAAGAAGGCCUUCGGGUUGUAAACUGCUUUUGUACGGAACGAAACGGUCUGCCCUGAUACGGUGGGCUAAUGACGGUACCGUAAGAAUAAGCACCGGCUAACUACGUGCCAGCAGCCGGGG
rnacentral:rRNA from 1 species